UACGUAGGGUGCGAGCGUUGUCCGGAAUUAUUGGGCGUAAAGAGCUUGUAGGCGGUUUGUCGCGUCUGCCGUGAAAAUCCGGGGCUCAACCCCGGACUUGCGGUGGGUACGGGCAGACUAGAGUGUGGUAGGGGAGACUGGAAUUCCUGGUGUAGCGGUGAAAUGCGCAGAUAUCGGGAGGAACACCAAUUGCGAAGGCAGCUCGCUGGGACGUCACUGACGCUGAGACGCGAAAGCGUGGGGAGCAAACAGG
rnacentral:rRNA from 1 species